UACGUAGGGUGCAAGCGUUAAUCGGAAUUACUGGGCGUAAAGCGCGCGUAGGCGGCUGCCUAAGUCGGAUGUGAAAGCCCCGGGCUCAACCUGGGAACUGCAUUCGAUACUGGGCGGCUAGAGUAUGAGAGAGGGAGGUAGAAUUCCACGUGUAGCGGUGAAAUGCGUAGAUAUCUGGAGGAAUACCGGUGGCGAAGGCGGCAUCCUGGACCGGCAUUGACGCUGAGGAGCGAAAGCCAGGGGAGCAAACGGG
rnacentral:rRNA from 1 species